UCUUCUCAAUGCAGUCGAAUGAUGAAUCCCAUCUUGCUGGGUGGAUUAGUGGCGAACGGGUGAGUAACACGUGAGUAACCUGCCCUUGACUCUGGGAUAAGCGUUGGAAACGACGUCUAAUACCGGAUACGAGCUUCCACCGCAUGGUGAGUUGCUGGAAAGAAUUUUGGUCAAGGAUGGACUCGCGGCCUAUCAACUUGUUGGUGAGGUAAUGGCUCACCAAGGCGACCACGGGUAGCCUGCCUGAGAGGGUGACCGGCCACACUGGGACUGAGACACGGCCCAGACUCCUACGGGAGGCAGCAGUGGGGAAUAUUGCACAAUGGGCGAAAGCCUGAUGCAGCAACGCCGCGUGAGGGACGACGGCCUUCGGGUUGUAAACCUCUUUUAGCAGGGAAGAAGCGAAAGUGACGGUACCUGCAGAAAAAGCACCGGCUAACUACGUGCCAGCAGCCGCGGUAAUACGUAGGGUGCAAGCGUUGUCCGGAAUUAUUGGGCGUAAAGAGCUCGUAGGCGGUUUGUCGCGUCUGCUGUGAAAUCCCGAGGCUCAACCUCGGGUCUGCAGUGGGUACGGGCAGACUAGAGUGCGGUAGGGGAGAUUGGAAUUCCUGGUGUAGCGGUGGAAUGCGCAGAUAUCAGGAGGAACACCGAUGGCGAAGGCAGAUCUCUGGGCCGCUACUGACGCUGAGGAGCGAAAGGGUGGGGAGCAAACAGGCUUAGAUACCCUGGUAGUCCACCCCGUAAACGUUGGGCGCUAGAUGUGGGGACCAUUCCACGGUUUCCGUGUCGUAGCUAACGCAUUAAGCGCCCCGCCUGGGGAGUACGGCCGCAAGGCUAAAACUCAAAGGAAUUGAC
rnacentral:rRNA from 1 species